GAGCACACACCACGUGCCGGCUGCUAUGCCAGGCACUUUCACACACGUUAUUUUAUUUAUAAUCCUCACCUUGACCCUGAGAUGUGGAUGGCAUUUUCUCCAUCUUAAAAAUGAGAAAAAAAAUAGGGCUCGGAAGCGUCAAGUAACUUGCCCAAGGACACGAGCGGAAAGUGGCGGAGCCUAAAUGACAACCUGGGCCUGCCUGUCGCAGGCUCUUUCCACCUCGGCACGAGGAGGGCGCCCGGCGUGUGCGCGCGCGCGGCCUCCUGGUGGUUCUCCCUCUGGCCUGGUGGGAACCCGCGGGGCCUUCCCGAGAGCGGCCAGGGCCCCGGAGCCCGGCUCUGCGCAGGCCGCUGCCGAGGUCCAGUUCCCGGGGGAAGGCAGCUUGUGCUCUGGGCGGAGAGCCCGUGGAGCGACUCGGGUUUAAUAGACGCGCCGGUCCUCUUCCAAGAGCCUGGAAAUCUGCAGAGGGAUCCCGCCUUUCCAGGGAAGCCGGGCUGGGUGAAACUGACAGGUCUUGGCGCGCGGAGGAAGGGGUGGCGGGGAGCCCGGCCGGCUCCCUCCCAGUCUGCGCUCGCUGGCGGCUCCCCGAGGCUCCGGGCUUGGCUCCGCGGUACCUCUGGCUGCAAACACAUCGGCCCCAGAAAAAAUGUGGAACCAGCCCAAAUGCCCAUCAAUCAGUGAGUGGAUAAAGAAACUGUGGUAUAUAUAUAUAUACGAUGGAAUACUACUCAGCCAUAAAAAGGAAUCAAUUAAUGGCAUUCACAACCACCUGGAUGGGAUUGGAGAUCAUUAUUCUAAGUGAAGUAACUCAGGAAUGGAAAAUCAAACAUCGUAGGUUAUCACUUAUAAGUGGAAACUAAACUAUGAGGAUACAAAGACAUAAGAAUGAUACAAUGGACUUUGGAGACUCGGGGGGAAGGGUGGAAAGGUGAUGAGGGAUAAAAGACUACAAAUUGAGUUCAGUGUGUAUUGCUUGGGUGAUGGGUGCAUCAAAAUCUCAGAAAUUGGCCAGGCGUGGUAGCUCAUGCCUGUAAUCCCAGCACUUUGGGAGGCCAAGGCAUGUGGAUCACCUGAGGUCAGGAGUUUGAGACCAACCUCGCCAACAUGGUGAAAUCCCAUUUCUACUAAAAAUACAAAAAUAUUAGCCAGGCAUGGUGGUGCAUGCCUGUAAUCCCAGCUACUCAGGAGGCUGAGGCUGGAGAAUUGCUUGAACCUGGGAGGCAGAGGUUGCAGUGAGCCAAGAUCGCUCCACCGCACUCCAGUCUGGGCAAGAAGAGCAAAAACUCCGUCUCAAAAAAAAAAAAAAAUCUCAGAAAUCACUACUAAAGAACUUCCUCAUGUAACCAAAUACCAUCUGUUCCCCAAUAACCUGUGGAAAUAAAAAAUAAAAAAUUAAGUGUCUGCUAUCUGACUGCCCAGAGUCAGUUCUCAGGAGGGAUUCAAAAGAAGAGACCAAGAGAUUCUGAUAUGAUGCUGCCGGGUUCCCUCUAGUAGCUUGGAAAUAAACUGAACUGAGAGAUUUUAGUUCUCAGUGGGGUCUUCAGGGACCCUGGGCCUGAGCAAGGGAGAGCGAUGUCAUAGAUGAUCUGUGGUUCUUAAAGUAUGGCCCUCGGACCUGCAGCCUUACCUGGAAACCUGUUAGAGAUGCAGAUUCUCUCCCCUCUCCUACUCAGUGCUGAAUCAGGGGUCCCAGCAACCUGUGGUUUGACAAGCCCUCUGGGUAGUUCUGAAGGUUGAGAACCACUUGUAUAUAUCGUUGCAAAAACAGGGCCUCAGUGGCCUUCUGCUCUCUUCAAUAUUUGUUGUCCCCUAAUAGCUGUGCUGUAGGAUCUGGAGUCCAAUCUGGGUGUGAAUGCAAGUUUGAAUACACAAGUAGUUAAUUUCCCUGAGCCUCAGUUUUCUUAUUUGUAAUAUGGGGAUAAAUAAUACCUGCGGUACAAGUUUAUUAUAGUUAAGUUAAAAUUAAAUGAGAUAAUGUAUAUGAAGUUCCUGGAACACAGUAGGUACUCAAUACCUUCCUUUGCCUCCUGCCUCCCUCCUCUAUUAGCCCAGACUUUUGUUCUUGUUAUGAGCAACAGAAAGUCAAUUCACAGUAACUUAAGAAAAAAUUAAAACGUUAUGGGUUCAGGGAAUUCCGGGAAGACCUGUCCAUCCUUGCUGCCUCGAAUUUCUCUCGCCCCACUUAUUCUUGAACCGCCCCUCACCAGGUUUUUAUACCUCUACUCCACUGAAACUUCACUUCUCCAGGUUUACAGUGACCUCCUUGUGACUAAAUCCAAUGGUCCUUUCUCAGUCUCUAUCUGGCAUGUGCUGUCAGUAGCGUUUGGCACAGUUUAUCACUUUCUUCUUUUUUUUUUUUGAGAUGGAGUCUGGCUCUGUCACCCAGGCUGGAGUGCAAUGGCGUGAUCUUGGCUCACUGCAACCUCCGUCUCGCGGGUUCAAGCGAUUCUCCUGCCUCAGCCUCCUGAGGAGCUGGGACUACAGGCGCGUGCCACCACGCCCAGCUGAUUUUUGUAUUUUUAGUAGAGAUGGGGUUUCACCAUUUGGCCAGGAUGGUUUUGAUCUCUUGACCUCAUGAUCCACCCACUUCGGCCUCCCAAAGUGCUGGGAUUACAGGCGUGAGCCACCGCCCCCAGCCAUCACUUUCUUCUUGACAAGCUUUCUUCUCUUGGCUUCCAGGACACCCUCCUCUCCUGGUCCUCCCAUUUCUGAGUCUUCUUGAUCUCUGUCGUUCUGGAGCUCUCUAAAGGUUCAAGUCCCCCAGAUCCCAUUUUGUGGCCCUCUUCUUUUUCUUCCUUUUUUUUUUUUUUUUUUUUUUUUUUUGAGGCGAGUCUCAUUCUGUCUCCCAGGCUGGAGUGCAAUGGCAUGAUCUUGGCUUACUGCAACCUCUGCCUCCUGGGUUCCAGUGAUUCUCCCGCCUCAGCCUCCUGAGUAGCUGGGAUUACAGGUGUGUACCACCACGCCCAGCUCAUUUUUUGUAUUUUUAGUACAGACAGGGUUUCACCCUGUUGCCCAGGGUGGUCUCGAACUCCUGACCUCAAGUGAUCCACCCACCUCGGCCUCCCAAAAUGCUGGGAUUACAGGCAUGAGCCACCAUACCCGGCCCCUCUUCUCUUUUCCAUCCACACUCUCUUCCUAGAUGAUCUCAUCUAACUUCAUGUUUUAAUCCCAUCCAUGUGCUGACAGCUUCCAAAUUUAUAUCUCCAGCUGGGACCUCUUUUUUGAAUUCUACUCUAGAAUAUCCAACUGCCUUUGCAGCGUCUCCACUUAGAUAUCUAAUAGCUCUGUCAAACGUAGCAUGUCCCAAACGGAGCUUCCAAUCGCGCCUGUGCACACCAGAACCCGCUCCAUCACAGUUUUCCCAUCUCAAUUAAUGGCAGCUCCAUGUUAAUGUAACUCAGGCCCAAAUCGCUGGCUUCAGGCUUGUUGCCUCUUUUUCUCUCAUAUUGUACGUCCAGUUGGCAGCAAGUCUUGUUGGUUCUGCUUUCAGGAUCUAUCUGGAGUCUAAUUCAAUGGUAGCGGUCUCCAUCAUCUCUCACCUAGAUUUUUGUAGUGGCUUCUUCAGUGCCUGUGCCCGCUACAGGUAAUCUCUAUACAGCAUUCAGGGCAAUCAUGUUAAAAUACAAAUCAGAUGAUCUGACUCUUAUGCCCCCAGAUCCUCCAGUACAUGUUCCCCCCACCCGUUGCCUCUCUGUGUUAGUUUCUCAGGACCAAUGUCGCAAAUGACCACCAACUCAUGGCUUAAAACAACAGAAUUCUAUUCUUUUCCAGUUGUGGAAGCUAGGUGUCUGAAAGCAAGAUGUCAUGCUCCCCGUUGGAAGUCUGAGAAACGAUCCCAUGCCUCCGAUGGUGGCCAGCCAUCCUUGAAUGAUCUCAUGCCUCCGAUGGUGGCCAGACAUCCUUGGCAUUCCUUGGGUUGUGGCAUCAUCACUCCGAUCUCUGCCUGCAUUCUCACAUGGCCUUCUCCUCCAUGUGUGUGUCUCUACACAGACUUCUUAUAGGGGCACCAGUCUUUGGACUUAGCACCCACCCUACUCCAGUAUGAAAGGAAAAAACUCUUGGGGCCCCCAAAUCACUAAGCUAAAGGGAAAAGUCAAGCUGGGAACUGCUCAGGGAAAACCUGCCUCCCAUUCUAUUCAAAGUCACCCGUUUGCUCACUGAGAUAAAUGCAUAUCUGAUGGCCUGCUUUGGAGAGGCUAAUCAGAAACUCAAAGAAAUGCAGCCGUUUGUCUCUUAUGUACCUAUGAACUGGAAGCCCCCUCCCUGCUUUGAGUUGUCCUGCUUUUCCAGACUGAACCAAUGUUCAUCUUACAUAUGUUGAUUGAUGUCUCUUGUCUCCCUAAAUUGUAUAAAACCAAACUGUGCUGACUACCUUGGGCACAUGUUAUCAAAACUUCCUGAGGCUGUGUCACAGGUGUGCGUCCUCAACCUUGGCAAAAUAAGCUUUCUGAAUUAACUGAGAGCUAUCUCAGAUAUUCAGGGUUCACAGCAAUAUGACCCCAUCUUGACUAAUUACAUCUGCAAUGACCUUAUUUCCAAAUAAGGUCAUAUUCUGAGGAUCUAGCAGACAUGAAUUUUGGGGAGACAUUAGUGCACCCAGCCUACUCUCUAACCUCAUGUCCUGGUCCUCUGCCUUCCUUCUCCUUCCUGCUUCAGCCACCGUAUCCGGAUCACUGCCGUUUAGACAUGCCAGGCUAGGUCUCAGGGUCUUUGCAUUUUCCAUUCCCAUUGCCUGGAAGGCUCCCGCAGACACCCACAUGACCCACUCAAGUCUUUUCUAAAAUGUUACCUUCUCAAUGAAACCUUCCCUGGCCACCCAAUCUAAAAUUUUAACACCUCCCAUCAAAUUGCAUAUUCUUCUUUUCAGUAUUAUUUGUCCC
rnacentral:lncRNA from 1 species